rnacentral:rRNA from 1 species
GACGAACGCUGGCGGCGUGCUUAACACAUGCAGGUCGAACGGAAAGGCCCUGCUUUUGUGGGUUGCUCGAGUGGCGAACGGGUGAGUAACACGUGAGUAACCUGCCCUUGACUUUGGGAUAACUUCAGGAAACUGGGGCUAAUACCGGAUAGGAGCUCCUGCUGCAUGGUGGGGGUUGGAAAGUUUCGGCGGUUGGGGAUGGACUCGCGGCUUAUCAGCUUGUUGGUGGGGUAGUGGCUUACCAAGGCUUUGACGGGUAGCCGGCCUGAGAGGGUGACCGGCCACAUUGGGACUGAGAUACGGCCCAGACUCCUACGGGAGGCAGCAGUGGGGAAUAUUGCACAAUGGGCGGAAGCCUGAUGCAGCAACGCCGCGUGCGGGAUGACGGCCUUCGGGUUGUAAACCGCUUUCGCCUGUGACGAAGCGUGAGUGACGGUAAUGGGUAAAGAAGCACCGGCUAACUACGUG